rnacentral:rRNA from 1 species
CCUACGGGAGGCAGCAGUGAGGAAUAUUGGUCAAUGGGCGCGAGCCUGAACCAGCCAAGUAGCGUGAAGGAUGACUGCCCUACGGGUUGUAAGCUUCUUUUGUAAAGGAAUAAAGUGAGGCACGUGUGCCUUUUUGUAUGUACUUUAUGAAUAAGGAUCGGCUAACUCCGUGCCAGCCGCCGCGGUAAUACGGAGGAUCCGGGCGUUAUCCGGAUGUAUUGGGGUUAAAGGGAGCGUAGAUGGGUUGUUAAGUCAGUUGUGAAAGUUUGCGGCUCAACCGUAAAAUUGCAAUUGAUACUGGCAGUCUUGAGUACAGGUGAGGUAGGCGGAAUUCGUGGUGUAGCGGUGAAAUGCUGAGAUAUCACGAAGAACGCCGAUUGCGAAGGCAGCUUACUAAACUGCCACUGACAUUGAUGCUCGAAAGUGUGGGGAUCAAACAGGAUUAGAUACCCGGGUAGUC